AGCAAACGUACUUUGAAAGACAUACAUUCCCAUUAAAAAGAAGGACAAGAGUCACAACUUCCAGUUCUUUAAGGUAAUGAGAAUCUGUUCAAAGUUCUUUUUGGCAGUUUUUAAACUGGUAUGACUGUCGUACUUUUCAAUUGGUUUUUCUGGUACAAAGAACAGCACGGUAAACCCAGUAACGAGCAACAUGCCACCAAUAAUAAAGGCAUAAAUGGCAAACGGUGCGGGAUUAUUAGCACUACUUUCACCACCGGCUGGGUAAGCUACUGCUGUAAUAAUCAAGGCAAUUAAGAAAAUAAAAAUAAAACCCCAAACACCAUUAGCAGCGCCCUGAAUACCAAAACCCAAUGCUUGGUUUUCCUGGGUUGCUUGUUGACUCGCUAACUUUCACAGUGGUGUUCAAAAGAUUAAGGUCGAAGUAAUACCCCAAAGCCCCCAAAUAACACAGUACUGUACAAACAAGGCAUUGGAUUUUUGGCUUUCACGAGUAAGAAUGUUAGUAGCUAGCCAAAAGGUAAUUACACCCGUUGAAAUUUCUGACAAGAACAAUAGUUUCCGCGAACUAAACCGGUUCGCUAAAAAACCACCAGGUAACUGCGUGGCUAAGGUCACAUAACCAAUAAUCGAGGUUAAGGUGGCCACUUCAUCUUCAGUAAUCCCUAAAUACAGGUGCAAGUUAGGCACCACAUUCUUAAUAUAGUACGGGGCCGCAAUUACAAAAACAUCAGCCGCACCGAGAAUAAUUAGUGCUAUGAGCUGCUUUUUGGAAAACUGCUGCAACCGUUUCUUUAAACUAAGUUUCGUUUCCAUUGUGACACAACGAAAUUACGCCAUUAUUUUAGUGGUAAUUAUGGGGUUAAUCCGGUUAGCUUGCCAAAAAAUAAAUUAGAAAAACGUUUUUGGCAUACAUUUAUUGCAAAAAGUGAGAGGAAAACCGUAUUUAGAUUUGGCUAGCGGUAAUGAUACCACUCCCCAAACAAAUGCCAUUCUGGGUAUACAAAACACCAUACUGACCGUUGGUAACGCGGUCAAUUGGUUGAUCUAGUUGUACUUGCACGACGUUGUUUGGUUGUACUGUUAUGUGCCCUUGCACUAACGGUUGGGCAUGGCGAAUCCGUACCAGAACGGUUUGGGUCAAUGGAUUGGGUUGGUACAACCAGUUAAAGUGGGAAAGGGUAAUGCCACGACGCUGUAAAUCUUCUGGGUCACUCGAGACAUACAAGGUGUUUGUUUUUAAGUCCUUUUCAACGACAAAGUUCCGUGCUGCUUGCCCACCUAAAUUUAAGCCACUGCGCUGCCCAGUGGUGUAAAAUCACACCCCUUCAUGACUGCCUAGUUGGCGCUGCGUUUUUCAAUCAUAAAUAACCCCCGGUUUGACUGGUAAAUAAUU
rnacentral:sRNA from 1 species